rnacentral:rRNA from 1 species
GACGAACGCUGGCGGCGUGCUUAACACAUGCAAGUCGUACGGUAAGGCCCUUUCGGGGGUACACGAGUGGCGAACGGGUGAGUAACACGUGAGUAACCUGCCCACAACUUUGGGAUAACGCUAGGAAACUGGUGCUAAUACUGGAUAUGUGCUCCUGCUGCAUGGUGGGGGUUGGAAAGCUCCGGCGGUUGUGGAUGGACUCGCGGCCUAUCAGCUUGUUGGUGGGGUAGUGGCCUACCAAGGCGGCGACGGGUAGCCGGCCUGAGAGGGUGACCGGCCACAUUGGGACUGAGAUACGGCCCAGACUCCUACGGGAGGCAGAAGUGGGGAAUAUUGCACAAUGGGCGCAAGCCUGAUGCAGCAACGCCGCGUGCGGGAUGACGGCCUUCGGGUUGUAAACCGCGUUCAGCAGGGACGAAGCUUUUUGUGACGGUACCUGCAGAAGAAGCACCGGCUAACUACGUG